AGCUUAGCCAAACAUGCCCAGAGAGAGCAAGCGGCGUCAGAGAGAAUGCAGGAGAGAGAGAAAGAUCCAUGAAAGUAGGAGGAAGCCGGCCACCCCAAGCCGAUGAAGGGGAUGAUGGCAAUGGCUUAGGGCUGAGGUAGAUAACCAGAUUCGCAACGAUGGCAGCUAGGGUUUCGGAUUAGGGGUUUUAAAACCAGAUCAUGGAGGUGUUGGGGACGAUUUCAACCUUUAAGCACCAAGAAACCAAUCGUCGAACAAAACUUUUAAAACCCUUGCACCACUCUCCUCCCUGUGAAUAUUGGCGAUCCAACAUACAUAUUUCUUCUUAAAAAGUUAAAGCGUAUCAGAUUCGUAACAGGUUACACUUUUUGGUCCAGAUUAGUGUGUGGUUUGAUUGAAGUUGCAAGAGUGUAUAUUCUGACCAGUCGAAUUUCUGUUUGGAGUGGCCGAGUGGGAACAUCAGUAUACCAAGUAUGCUCUGCUCAGUUUUCCUUUUCCUUUUGGUUUCCUUCCAGUUUUCUUCUUCUGAUUGUUGGAUGGGUUGGAGACUCAGUACAAAGUGGGGUUUUUUUUAUGAAUUCAUCUCUAUAUGGUUUUGUAGAUUGAAGGUGCCUAUCUUGAAGAUGGAACCAUUUGUAAUGGUCACAAUGGAUUCGUAGCUGAUGAUGAGAGAUGAGUAUCACCAAAAUAUUACAUAGUUUAUUAGUUUUUCUCUAAUUUAUAUAAAAAAAUUUACUUUCAGUUCUGUAAAACUAUUUGAAUCUGAUUAAUCGACCGUUGUAGAAAUAUAUUGAGACCAUACAAUCUGUUGUUGUGGGUGCUUAGCGUUUCUCUCUAUAAUGGUCAAGAAUUUUUCUAGGUAUAAUAUGCAACUGAAAAAAAAUGUUAAAAAAGACCAAAUAUGUUUGUUUGUUUGUUAAUCAUCUUUCAUUGUUGGUUUUUUUCGAGUUUAUUGGAUGUUCCCCAUCUUUGAGUGGGGCUAUAUGGGUCAACCCGUGGGAUGUUGACUGGGUUGCAGAUGCACUGGAUUGUGCCUUGGAGCUGAGUGACCCCGAGAAGCAAAUGAGAUACCAGACAUUAUAGGUAUGUGAGUACUCAUGGUGUCGGCUAUUGGGCCCGUAGCUUUAUGCAAGAGUUGAAAAGAACAUGUAAUGAUCAUGUGAGUAAAAGGUGUUGGGGGAUACGGUUCGGGUUGAGUUUUUAGAGUUGUCGCUUUACAUCCGAAUUUUAAGAAGCUAUCAAUGGAGCAUAUAGUUUCGGCUUUUAAACGAACUACAACAAGGGCGAUUCUUUUGGAUUAUGAUGGCACUUUGAUACCUCAAUCUUCCAUCGAUAAAAGCCUGAGUUCUAAAACGAUAGAGAUGCUCAAUACUUUGUGUAGAGACAAGAACAACAUGAUUUUUGUUGAGAGGGCAAGGAGCUGAAAUACAUUAGGCGAAUGGUUUGCUUCUUUUGAAAAAGUCGGGCUUGCAACAGAGUAAAUUGGUUUUUGUAGGGUAUUCAAUAAAAA